rnacentral:lncRNA from 1 species
CUACUACAAGGAGCAGAAGGUGCUGGUGGAAGGGGCCGCUAACAACCUGCGCGAGAGCCUCAUGCAGUUCAGCAAGCCGCGCAAGCUGGUCAACACCAUCAACCCGGGGGCCCGCUUCAUGACAACUGCCAUGUACGACGCCCGGGAAGCCAUCAUCCCAGGGUCCGUGUACGACCGCAGCAGCCAGGGCCGGCCCUCAAACAUGUACUUCCAGACCCACGACCAGAUCGGCAUGAUCAGCGCCGGCCCAAGCCACGUGGCCGCCAUGAACAUUCCCAUCCCCUUCAACCUGGUCAUGCCGCCCAUGCCGCCGCCCGGCUACUUCGGACAGGCCAACGGGCCGGCAGCAGGUGAGCGCCAGCCACGCCGCACCUCGCCCCAUGCGGCCCUGCCCUGCCUUUCGGGUCGUUGGACUUCUUGCUCUCUUUCAGGCCGGGGUGCCCCGAAAAGCAAGACCAGUCGUGGGGCGCGCCAGAAGAACCGCUUCGGGCUCCCCGGGCCCAGCCAGACCCCCCUCCCCAGCAGCCAGGCCAGCCAGGACGUGGCAUCGCAGCCCUUCUCGCAGGGCGCGCUGACGCAGGGCUACAUCUCCAUGAGCCAGCCCUCCCAGAUGAGCCAGCCCGGCCUCUCCCAGCCCGAGCUGUCCCAGGUGAGCCCCGCGCUGCUGCCACUGCCCUCAAGUCCCGAAGGGAACCCCGCUGCCCGCACAGGGUCUGUAGCCCUCCGGGGCCAUGCACACCUCGGCCGCGCACUCUCCUGCCUUGUCUUUCAGGACAGCUACCUGGGUGAUGAGUUUAAAUCCCAGAUCGAUGUGGCGCUGUCCCAAGACUCCACGUACCAGGGAGAGCGGGCGUACCAGCACGGCGGGGUGACAGGGCUGUCCCAGUACUAGAAGGCAAGCGUCCUGUGCCUGCCCCCGGGAGGAGUCAGGAGCCGCGGCAGGGGCCCUGGACACGUGGGCCAGCAGUGGUGGGGCCCCUGGGCCCCUGCCUGCUGGGCUCGGUGCCCCCUCUGGCAGCGUGCGGGUCAGGGAGGUGCCGCGGUGCCCUGGGCCUGCCCCUGCGGCUGCUGUCCGUCCCGUCCCAUCCCAUCCCACAGGUGGUGGCGGAAGAGCUAAGCUCCGUGGCUUAGUGCAUCAGCAUCUUAUUCUGGGUAAUAAAAAAUAAAAAUAAAUGGAUACCUGUUUUCCACUGCUAAAACUGAAGCACCACUGUGUGAGCAACAGGAGAGGGAGAGGAGCAGCCGAGGGAGAGGAGCCAAGCAGCGAGCGCCCCUGUGGGCACGCGGCGACGGCAGCGGCGCAGGAGAAGGAGAAGGGAGAGCGGGAGGUGGCAGCCGCAGGAGCCUGUCAGGCCCUGCCCAGCCCGUCACCUGGAGGCGCAGCCCGCCCGCCCGCCGCGCACACCUGGGCCCGCGACCAGGCGGAGGGAGAAGACCCUCAUCUCAGAGUAGCCCUUUCUCUGUUUUUGUUUCUUUCUUUUCUCUUUUAUUGAAAGGGGACUACGUUUUAGCAGGAAAAAACUUCGCAUUUCUGUGCCCUAGCAGGCUCCUGGCGGUGGCCAUGCCAGCCGGGCCCGAGGAGCAUGGCUCCUGGACUGCCCAGGUCCCCUGGCCUGCGUUCUGAGGGGGUUCAUUGAAAGAAAAUACGGUGUUUGGGGUUUUUCUGUUUGUUUUUUUAAAGAUUUUUCAAAGAAGUACUGAAAACUACUUUUCUAAGUUUGUGUCUAAGAUCUUAGUGGUGGACCUGGGAGUCGUGAGCAGCUUCCAGAAACGAGGCGUCAACAGGCAGCACCUGGAGCCGGAGCAACGCCGACCGUGGUCUCAGGAGGAUGGUGGAGGUCUCGCUUCAGGGCCUUCACGCUGAGGGCAGCAACCAGCCCAGAGGCCCAAGUCUGCCUCCGAGGACUGAGGAGAUCGGCUGCCCCGCGCCGCCCGCCAUGGACUGGCCGGGCCCUGGCCGCCGCUCGGAAGGUGCUCAGCCCACUGCACCCUCAGCCAGGGCAGGUGCCGAUGCCGGGCCAGUGGGUUUAUCCCUUAGGAAGUGGUGGAAGGUGGCCGCCAGAGGGCUGGCCCCAUCCCCGCAGGCACCAGUCCUGUGCUGGCCACGUGCUCGCGCCUGGCAGCCCAGCGCCUGCUGGCCCGGCUUGCCAACUGAGGGUUUGUGCUGGGGCGGCUCUGCCGAGGGGCCCGGAGCAGUCGCGCCUCUGGACAGACGCAGGGCAGAGGUGCAGAGGCAGCGAGGGUGAGAGCUGCUCCCUGCACGGGGUCCUCUUCCCCAGGCCCCGGCCCCGGCCUCCCCUUCGUGCACAGGGACGCGCCGGUCGCCUGCUAUGGGCAAGGACGCUGCCAUCCGCAGGCUUGUGGUUCCCUUUCGAAGGCCGCCGGAGGCAGCCCGGCUAGGCCCCACCGUUCCCGCCCGCUUUGCCUCCGCUUGUACCCUUGCUUUGCCCUCCACCUUCCCGGCGGCAGUCACCCUUUCACCAGUCGACAAGCAUCCGUACCAAGGCAACGUAACUUGGUUUUUGGUCAAUUUGUUUUAAGCUCUUUUGUCACCAAUAAAAUCUUAAUAAACAGUUCCUGCCUUUCCAUGAGGCUGGCAUGACUGUGUGGAGAGCGAGGGCAUGGGUGGGCCGGCGGGUGGAGCGGAGUGGGGACGGGCAGGAGCAGGGGAUGCUGCCUCGGCAGGCACCGCAGACCGCUGAGGCCCGGGCCCUCCCCGCGCCAGG